GCAAACUCCCCUAGCCGGAGGUGUUUCCAUGGCAACGCAACGGGUUCCCCAUCUGGCCUUGCGCAGCCCCCCUCCCCGCGGACACCUAGGCCCCUUGGCGGCCCCACCGUGAAUCCCGCUGGGGGUCCCGCUGCCGUCCCGCGUGCGGGCAGCGAACAGACAGUGAAGAAAGGAGCUAGCGAGCUUGAGGAGAGACCCCUGGCCAAGCGCAAGAGAGAUGGUGAGCGGCAGUGUCAGGGGGUAGCCAGGUUAGGCUGUAGCCACAAAAACAACAAGGCGUCCGGCGCCACCUUAAAGACUAACUGAGAGUUACUUGGGCAUCAGCUUUCGUGGGUAAAAACCUCACUUCUUCAGAUGCACGGAGAGAAAGCUGCUGGGGGAGAAAGCAACACACACAGGAGAGGGUCACAGCCCCACACCCGUGCAGCAAGGGUAUGACUGACUGCUCCCAGACUGUUGUCCUUCCCACUAAGGGGGUGAGUGGGUUUGAAAUGGCACAAAGUGCAAAUGACAAGGACAAGCACUGACUGGAUACAGAAACUAGCCCAGCAGAAACAUCCUGCUAUGAGGAACUGUGCACUGCCUAAUGAUGCUCAAGGACCCUGUCAAUGUGUUCUUGGGAAAGGGGAGUUUAUGUUAGAGACGUGCAAACAAUUCCCAGGGAAUACUGGGUUUGCUCUGCUUGCAAAACAUUCAGAUUGUGAAAUUUCCUGGGUAUUUGGUUCUCUGAUAUUGUUCACAAAGUUUUGCCAUGGAUGUCAAUGGGAGUUUUGCCAUUCACUUCAAUGGAGACAGGAUAUCACCCCAGCAGUUUUCGGUUAAUUUUUUUUUUUUUGGCUGAAACAAAACUGAAUGUUUUUCCAGUUUUCAAAAAGCAAAACAGGUUUGUUUUUCUGUUUUUUGUUGUUGUUUCCCCUUUGUCUUUCCAUUAACCCUCCCUUUUUUCCACUAAGAAAGAAAGAAAAAGCCCCCCCCAAACUGAAAAAUAAAAAAGGUUCAGGUUU